rnacentral:rRNA from 1 species
GUUGAACGCUGGCGGCAUGCCUUACACAUGCAAGUCGAACGGUAACAGGUUAAGCUGACGAGUGGCGAACGGGUGAGUAAUGUAUCGGAAUGUGCCCAGUCGUGGGGGAUAACUGCUCGAAAGAGCAGCUAAUACCGCAUACGACCUGAGGGUGAAAGCGGGGGAUCGCAAGACCUCGCGCGAUUGGAGCGGCCGAUAUCAGAUUAGGUAGUUGGUGAGGUAAAGGCUCACCAAGCCGACGAUCUGUAGCUGGUCUGAGAGGACGACCAGCCACACUGGGACUGGGACACGGCCCAGACUCCUACGGGAGGCAGCAGUGGGGAAUUUUGGACAAUGGGCGCAAGCCUGAUCCAGCCAUGCCGCGUGCGGGAAGAAGGCCUUCGGGUUGUAAACCGCUUUUGUCAGGGAAGAAAAGGUUCUGGCUAAUACCUGGGACUCAUGACGGUACCUGAAGAAUAAGCACCGGCUAACAACGUGCCAGCCGCCGCAGUAACAC